rnacentral:rRNA from 1 species
UACAGGGGGGUGCAAACGUUGCUCGGAAUCAUUGGGCGUAAAGCGCACGUAGGCGGUUCGUUAUGUCGGAUGUGAAAGCCCUUGGCUUAACCGAGGAAGUGCAUCCGAAACUGGCGAGCUAGAGUACUAAAGAGGAUCGCGGAAUUCCCGGUGUAGAGGUGAAAUUCGUAGAUAUCGGGAGGAACACCGGUGGCGAAGGCGGCGAUCUGGGUAGAUACUGACGCUGAGGCACGAAAGCGUGGGGAGCGAACAGG